CCUACGGGUGGCUGCAGUGGGGAAUAUUGGACAAUGGGCGCAAGCCUGAUCCAGCAAUGCCGCGUGUGUGAAGAAGGCCUGCGGGUUGUAAAGCACUUUCAGUGGGGAGGAAGGCCUCGAUAUUAAUACUAUUGAGGAUUGACGUUACCCACAGAAGAAGCACCGGCUAACUCUGUGCCAGCAGCCGCGGUAAUACAGAGGGUGCAAGCGUUGAUCGGAAUUACUGGGCGUGGUUGCUGAAGAGGGGUGUGAAAGCCCCGGGCUCAACCUGGGAAUUGCAUUUGAGACUGAGUAACUUGAGUAUGGUAGAGGGAAGUGGAAUUUCCAGUGUAGCGGUGAAAUGCGUAGAUAUUGGAAGGAACAUCAGUGGCGAAGGCGACUUCCUGGACCAUUACUGACACUGAGGCACGAAAGCGUGGGGAGCGAACAGGAUUAGAUACCCGGGUAGUC
rnacentral:rRNA from 1 species